rnacentral:rRNA from 1 species
AGUCGGGAAUUUUGCUCAAUGGGCGCAAGCCUGAAGCAGCAACGCCGCGUGCGGGAUGAAGGCCUUCGGGUUGUAAACCGCUUUUAUCAGGGACGAUGAUGACGGUACCUGAUGAAUAAGUCACGGCUAACUACGUGCCAGCAGCCGCGGUAAUACGUAGGUGACCAGCGUUGUCCGGAUUUACUGGGCGUAAAGAGCGCGCAGGCGGUCGUUCAAGUCGAGUGUGAAAGCCCCCGGCUCAACUGGGGAGGGUCACUCGAUACUGAUCGACUUGAAGGCAGGAGAGGGAAGCGGAAUUCCCGGUGUAGUGGUGAAAUGCGUAGAUAUCGGGAGGAACACCAGUGGCGAAGGCGGCUUCCUGGCCUGUUCUUGACGCUGAGGCGCGAAAGCUAGGGGAGCAAA